rnacentral:tRNA from 1 species
GCCCGUGUAGUCCAGCGGUUAGGAUGCGACCCUGUCACGGUUGCGACCCGGGUUCGAUUCCCGGCGCGGGCG